GCAUCCUGAAAGAAUCAUAAUCGUCAAAAAAAAACGAUAAAAAUUAAUUUUCAUAAAAAAAUGAUUUCAAACUUUUUCAAUUCUAUAUUUCAACUCAUCAGAGAGAUACAACAAUCUUUCAAAAAAGAGUCAAAGGUCAUCAUAUUUAGCUGACCGGUACCAAGGUGCGGAUAUUUCAAUGGUUGAACCUGUAUCUGAUUUAUGUGUAAUUACAUAUUGAAAAUGAUUGAAUUCAAAUGACACCUUGUUGUUUGCGCAGAAGAGGAAAUAUGAGCCUCCCUGGACAAUCGAACUCUCUACACCUUUACCACCAUAGAUAAUUCUGAAAACAUACAAAAGAUAAAUGGUUGGAUAACAUUUCAGGAGAAAUCGGAAUAAAGAGGAAGAUAAUAAUUCUUGGGAAGAAAAGACAAGAGAGUAAAAAGGAAGAAAGAACAAGAAGGAAAAUCGAAAGAGGCAGUAACACCAAUGGAAGAAGAAAAAAGGAAAGGCCAAAUCGCAUGCAGAAAUUAUGAAUGAACAAACGAAAAAGAAAUUUAAUUGUCAUGCAAAUCAACUAAUUCUAUUGAGAAUUAGAGAGAGAAAGAGAAGGAGGUUAAAUUGUUUAAUUGUUGAUAUGAAAAAAAGUUGAAAAGGAUACGAAUAGAGUUGAAUGAGAAAAAGGAGAAACCCAAAAAUUAGGACAUGAAAAUAUUGGACUUAAUUGUUCACAUCGAUUGGAUUCAUCAACCGGAUAAAGUUGAAUCACCAUCGAAGAUGAUCAAGUAAAGCACAACAUUUUGGUAUCAGUGAUAUGUUUAACUUUCCUUUGGAUUAAUAAUACUCUAUGGAUUGGAAUCGAUGAGGAUGAAAAUUUUGGUCUCUCUGGUGGGUUUUUAUGGGUCGGGAAUGAUUCAAGUUUUGAUGAUGAUGA